GAUGAACGCUGGCGGCGUGCUUAACACAUGCAAGUCGAACGAGAAGUGAAGACGGAAACCUUCGGGCGGAAGGCUUUAUUUCGAGUGGCGGACGGGUGAGUAACGCGUGGGUAACCUGCCUCAUACAGGGGGAUAACAGUUGGAAACGACUGUUAAUACCGCAUAAGACCACAGCACCGCAUGGUGCGGGGGUAAAAACUCCGGUGGUAUGAGAUGGACCCGCGUUCGAUUAGCCAGUUGGCGGGGUAACGGCCCACCAAAGCGACGAUCGAUAGCCGAUCUGAGAGGAUGACCGGCCACAUUGGGACUGAGACACGGCCCAAACUCCUACGGGAGGCAGCAGUGGGGAAUAUUGCACAAUGAGGGAAACCCUGAUGCAGCGACGCCGCGUGAGUGAAGAAGUAUUUCGGUAUGUAAAGCUCUAUCAGCAGGGAAGAAAAUGACGGUACCUGAGUAAGAAGCCCCGGCUAACUACGUG
rnacentral:rRNA from 1 species